rnacentral:lncRNA from 1 species
GGGGGCGCUCCGCCGCCGCCGUAGCGACCGGAGGGGAGACAUUAAACUCCCGCCUGCGCCAGAGUGCAGAGUGGUGGACUAGGUACCCGGAGCCGCGCAAGGGUCCUGGGUGAGACCCAAGCGCUUGAUGUUGGAUACCGAGGCGGGAAGACCCGAUCUCCUUCGGAGGUUGCCGUGCGGCCGUGCCUAACGGGGGUGUAGCAGGUCGAGCGCAACCCAGGUGACAUGGAGAUGCGGGGACCCCGAGCUCGGCGGCAGCCGAAACCACCCUCCCGGCCAAGAACCCUGCGCCGAGGGAAGGGAGAGGCGAGGGGUCGAGAACCGGAAUAGAAGAAGCAUUACUUUUUUUUAAAUUAAGAGGGAUGCACACACACACACGUGAAGAAUCCUGCUGGGGAGAAGUGGAAGAAAAUGGGUCUUCAUCCUCAUCCUCAGGCUCAGACAACAUUUGUGAAGACACCAGUGUGGCUGAGGAGGUGGAUGGCUCCUCAUCCUGAGGCUCCGAGAUCAUUUCUGAAGAGGCCUGUGUGGCAGAGGAGGUGGAUGGCUCCUCAUCCUGAGGCUCCGAGAUCAUUUCUGAAGAGGCCUGUGUGGCCGAGGAGGUGGAUGGCUCCUCAUCCUGGCCAGUGCCAGAGGGUGCUCCAAAAUAUUUCAGAAGUGCCCCUGAAUUUGCAGUGAAAUACAGUCUGACACCCUAAAUACAUUUGUUGCACAAUUAAAUGCACGUCAUUAUGCACAAUUUAUCAAACUUUCAGAAUAGGAACCAAAUGAACCAUACAACCUCAUUGGCUUAUUCUAGGCAUAAGACACCUCAAAAGACUCAAUAUAUCACAAAAGAUACAAAAUAUCGGCAUAAUGUAGACAUCUUUUAAGUUAGCCUACAGCAUUGGAAAUUCCCCUUAUUGAGCUCAGGACCUAGUCAAUACAAUCACAGAAAUCCUUUAUGAUGUCACCUCAAUGAAAGUUAACCAAAUCAAUAAUGUGCUAGUUAGGUUGUAAUCGUUUUGCUGCAGGCUACACACAUUAUCAUGAUAAAACUGUGUGAAAUUAUAUCCAAUGUUAUGGAAGCUAGUUGGACAGAAAACGGAAUAUUGUCACCCUGUGUGUAAUAGCAUAGCAAGCAACAUAGGCUAACAAACAUAAGUGUUAUACUAGCCUAUUUCAUUACAUGCAUAUUAUUGUACUCAUAAAGAGAUGACAUAGCUGCAAACCUUUUAUCUUUUGCACAUUUCUCCUCUUCUUCUUCCCUCUUUUUCCUAAACUGGGAACCUGAUGGUUUAGACCUUUUCUUAUCCAUUUGUGUUGAUUUGGCACUCGAGCAUCACUA